AUUGUGCUGAGAUCAUGUGGUUCAGGUUAGAACAGUUUUUCUGGGCUUUGACUGAAUCUCACAGAUCUAAAUGUGUUUUUAUUGCCAUGUUUGCUAAAUGUCCUUGGUAAAGAGUGGAGACUCCAAGGAACACUGGUCAAGAACAGCUGCUUUCUCCUACUGACUUUCUGUGUUUAUGAAGAUCCCUUGUUUUCCCAGACUUCAAGACUCAAAACUUCAAGAUCAUAUUGGACUCCUUUUUUGGUUCUCACCUUCUCCAUUUAAUCCAUCAUGAAAGUUUACAUCACUCAACCAAUUCGAAAUCUGUCUGGCUGGGCUCUAAACCUACUUCACAGUGUUCAUUCUGGCAAGAAGGUGUCAUGAGAGUGUCUCUUGAUUGACUCAAUUGAUGAGACCAGAAAUAAAUACAACAUGACAUCAUGGUAGGAACAGUUUUCUAUCUCUAGCUUAAAAUAAAUCUAAAACAUAAUAGGAACUUAUUAGGAAGAACAAUGGCUUUGUAAUUUUCUGUCAUUUAAAAAAUAAAGAAAAUUCUCCUUUCACAGGAUUAUUAAAUGCUCAUUCCAAAGUUUAAAAAAUAUUACUUGUAUAUGACUAUAUUUUAUUUCACUUUAUAGUAAGUUCCUUCUAUAGUCCUGAAUAUAUGGGUUGCUAG
rnacentral:lncRNA from 1 species